CGCGGCCUAUCAGCUUGUUGGUGAGGUAACGGCUCACCAAGGCAUCGACGGGUAGCUGGUCUGAGAGGACGAUCAGCCACACUGGGACUGAGACACGGCCCAGACUCCUACGGGAGGCAGCAGUAGGGAAUAUUGCGCAAUGGGCGAAAGCCUGACGCAGCAACGCCGCGUGGGGGAUGAAUGCCUUCGGGUUGUAAACCCCUUUCAGCAGGGACGAAAAUGACGGUACCUGCAGAAGAAGCCCCGGCCAACUACGUGCCAGCAGCCGCGGUAAUACGUAGGGGGCAAGCGUUGUCCGGAUUUAUUGGGCGUAAAGAGCUCGUAGGCGGUUCGGUAAGUCGGGUGUGAAAAUCCAAGGCUCAACCUUGGGACGCCACCCGAUACUGCUGUGACUAGAGUCCGGUAGAGGAGUGUGGAAUUCCUGGUGUAGCGGUGAAAUGCGCAGAUAUCAGGAGGAACACCUGCGGCGAAGGCGGCACUCUGGGCCGGAACUGACGCUGAGGAGCGAAAGCAUGGGGAGCAAACAGGAUUAGAUACCCUGGUAGUCCAUGCCGUAAACGUUGGGCACUAGGUAUGGGGUCUUAUCAACGGAUUCCGUGCCGUAGCUAACGCAUUAAGUGCCCCGCCUGGGGAGUACGG
rnacentral:rRNA from 1 species